UUUCAAACACUAAAAUGCUGCUUGUAAAUGUAAAAUAAAAAAGAAAGAAAAGAAAUUAUCUUAAUUAAAUUAUGGUUUAUUGAUUUUACUUUUUAAGUAUAUAUUUAAACCGGUUGUUAUGUAUUUUUUUUUUUAGUUUAAUGUGGGUAUCCGGGCCAGCUUGCGCGCACCUCGAUUAAUUCCAACGGGCCUUGAAGUUAACGACCAUGUAAGCCUCCAGUGGCCAUCAUAUGAGCAACCACAUGGCUCGAACCUGAGACCACAAAGGGAGCAAAUCUCUUGGUUCCAAGUUCUUACUACUAGGCCACCAUCUAGAAGGUUCGGUUGUUAUGUAUUAAGACUACAGAAACUGGACAAUUUUUAAAAAGAAGAUUAGAAUAAGAAGUAGAAUCAGAAAUGAAUGAUUCAUAAUAGAAAAUUCAUUAAUACUAAGAAACCAAAAAAAUGGUUUUCCUGACUGAUAUGAACAAUAAAGAAAAUUCUCUAAGCUUUUCAAAAUAUAUAUCGGGUAACAAAUUGGACAAUUUCUGGUGCGGUGAAACAAGUAAUAACUCGAAGGUUUGUGAAACUCAACUACCUGACCAGGCAAACUUUCACUCAAAAAUGAUUUUGAUAGCGUUGCUUAAUGAACUACAAGUCGAUAUACCUCUCCUUUCCAAGAAACCUCUCGGGGCACGCCACAAUCCAUAGAUUGAAAUUGUGGUGUGUAGAAAAAACGAAGUAGACAAUAAUGUUGAAAAGUCAAGUCAAUGAUUCUUCGGACGCAUUUAUUAGAAUAAUAUGUUACUUGCCUUGGUUUAAUUCUCUGGCUAGCCACAUAUAAAAAUGUCCAUGGUCUUUGUUUAUAUUCUAGCAGCUAACUAUUUGCAGCAUUGCUGCUGCUCACAAAAGCCAGCAAAAUCAACAACUUUAAGCAUGUCUAUUAAGAAAACUCUUUCACUAACCAGCAAAGCCGUUAAGGACGAUCAGGUCUCGGAAAAACGCAGGCGGUCUGAUCGAUGCUUUUCAUUCAAGGAGAUAUCGAUAGAACCAGGAAAAUCACUAAAAGACCUGGAUUCAAACAAGUUCAAGAUUGAUAUCAAGAGAUGGGCCAGGGCUGUUGUGGCAUAUGCACGCCAAGUAAGUAGCAGGUUUGGAAGCGCUAGAAAAAGUGGCCGGAUUGGAAGCUCUCGUGAUUCAUCACAGGACUCCAUAUAGUUGAAGAUUUGAAGAACUGGGCCCAUGAAUGUUCACACGUUCAUGACUGCCCCAUCUCGAGGAAGGAAAACUGAAAAAAUUGAUGUCAAGCUACGAAAAUGUGUUCAAGCAAGACAGGAUCAACCUCGAGGGAGAUCAGAGUUUGGUCCAUCAGCUCGAAACGGAGGCGCAACUUGUGUGCAAAGUCAAUAUCUUGGAGAUGGGGUUCAUGUAUACAAAGACACUAAUCGUUCUGAUUGUUUUUUCAUUCCAUUUAUAAUUAAUACGAUCUGUUGAUGAUAUGAAGCAAGUGGAUUUUGUUUUUUAUUUCUUCGUUCUUUCUUCCAUUAAUAAGACGACAUUGGAAGAUGUUGGGCA